rnacentral:rRNA from 1 species
CCUACGGGUGGCAGCAGUGGGGAAUAUUGCGCAAUGGGCGAAAGCCUGAACCAGCCAAGUAGCGUGAAGGAUGACUGCCCUAUGGGUUGUAAACUUCUUUUAUAUGGGAAUAAAAUGUUCCACGUGUGGGAUUUUGUAUGUACCCUAUGAAUAAGGAUCGGCUAACUCCGUGCCAGCAGCCGCGGUAAUACGGAGGAUCCGAGCGUUAUCCGGAUUUAUUGGGUUUAAAGGGAGCGUAGGUGGAUUGUUAAGUCAGUUGUGAAAGUUUGCGGCUCAACCGUAAAAUUGCAGUUGAAACUGGCAGUCGUGAGUACAGUAGAGGUGAGCGGAAUUCGUGGUGUAGCGGUGAAAUGCUUAGAUAUCACGAAGAACUCCGAUUGCGAAGGCAGUUCACUGGACUGCAACUGACACUGAGGCUCGAAAGUGUGGGUAUCAAACAGGAUUAGAUACCCGAGUAGUC